CCUCCGCAUAGCGAGGGGAAUCUGGAAGCUCCGCCACCGAUCGUAGACUACUCCUUAUCUACAACAUUUUCAGAUUCCGACGAGGAAGAGAUCGAUCCGGUGGAACGUGAGAGGUAUCGAAAACAGGUCGUCGAGUCCGGCGAACUAAAGAAGAAGAAACUACUCUGUGGGACCACGAUGCCGUAGACGAGUUCUAUAAAGAUGAUAUCUCUUGGCUAGAUGAUGAUGCUCUUACAGCAAGUGAUAAGCAGCUACAAUACUAUGAGGUGAAGGAAUCGGAUCUGCGAGACAACGAAUGGCUUUAUCUGUAUGCUGAACUUGUAUUAUUCUCCAAGUGGGCAAUGGACCUU